rnacentral:lncRNA from 1 species
AUGGGACCAACUGUAACUGGUGUUGUGAGGGGAGAAGGUGGAGGUGGAAGGAGUAGGGAGGGGGCUGGGCAGCUCCGGAGGCAGGGGAACAGACUGUGCUAUUGUUUCAGUGUUUUAUUGUUGAAUUCCCUUAAGUUUCCCAUCCCCAUUCUGGCCCUUGUGUCUGUACCCCUUCCGUUGCCUAAUAUUCUUUUAUAUAAAUGGUCUCAGAACUCCGCUGUGUAUAAUUCGGUUUUAUGUCAGCAGUUUCUAGAUCCACAUAAGCAAAGGGGGCAAAUGCCCAACCCAGAGAGGAAUAGGUGCCCACUGUCUUGGGAUAUCUACCAGCACAUGUGUCCAGCAUGACGGUGGAGUGGGGUAGGCACAAAUUGUUGUUAGGGAUGUAAUUGUGGGGGUUAUCUCACAACAGAGGCAAGAAAAAGUCUGUGGUCCAGGUCAUAAGAUGAAACUGCUGUGUCAGUUGUAGAGUUUUUGUUGUUGUUGCUAAUUGUUAGACAUUUGAAGGGAAGAAAAUGAGUGACAGAGAGGAGUGGGAUCCCUUUCAUAUAUGCUACCUCUGAGAAGGAUACCAUGGCCCAUGUUUAAUCCAGCACCUUAUAGUGGGGAGCAAAAGGAGUAGAGCAGUUCAAAAUGGCAGCAGAGUUGAAUCGGUAGGCUGAGUACACUAAUUUGGAGUUUGAGUCUGUUGCUCAUAGGGAAAGUCAGGGAGGCUUGUCAAAGAUUUAGCAGUGAGGUUUGGCACGACUAUAAGUGGCUAACAGAUGCCCUCAAACAUUCUUUGGAGCCUGAAGCAUGCACUGACUGGGACUGGGUGGUUUUCUCCAACUAUAGGAAGAAUCCAGAGGAAUCAGUUUUGGAAUUUGGUAACAUCCUCAGGAGAUUGGUCUUGAAGGCUUUCCCACAAGCAGUCUCUGAGACAAGAUGUGCUAGCAUGAGAUCAGUUCAUCAAUCACACUUUUAGUGAGGAGACAUGAAGAAAUUUCAGGAUGGGGAAGCCCCAAAGAUUAGAUGAAGCCAUCAACUAACUACAGAGAUGGAACUGGUAAGGAGAUUGGAAGCUUCAGGUGCUCAAGGUGCUGAUGUUAGGGUACAUGCCAUUCUGCAGAAGAAAAGAAGGGGAUAAAGACAUCAUCCCAUGAGUCAACAGUUAUGCAAACAGAGCUGGGAGUGUUAAAAGAACAAUGAGGGUGAACCGGAUCAUAUUAAGGAGGCUGUGAAGAUCUAGGCUCAGGGAAAGCUCCCAUGGAAAGAUCAGGAUGGUUCACAGUGGAGUCGAUGUUAAAGGGGAAUUCUAUAUUAGAUCUCGUCCUAACAGAUAAUGAGAAACUAAUCACAGAAUUAAAAGUUAAUGGUAAUUUAGGAAUAAGUGAUCAUGACUUGAUAAUAUUUAUAAUGUCCAAGCAGAAUAAAGUCCAAGCCAGUAAAAAUAUAUAUAUUACG